GUGGGGAAUAUUGCACAAUGGGGGAAACCCUGAUGCAGCGACGCCGCGUGAGUGAAGAAGUAUUUCGGUAUGUAAAGCUCUAUCAGCAAGGAAGAAAAUGACGGUACUUGACUAAGAAGCCCCGGCUAACUACGUGCCAGCAGCCGCGGUAAUACGUAGGGGGCAAGCGUUAUCCGGAUUUACUGGGUGUAAAGGGAGCGUAGACGGCAAGGCAAGUCAGAAGUGAAAACCCAUGGCUCAACCAUGGGACUGCUUUUGAAACUGUCUGGCUGGAGUGCAGGAGAGGUAAGCGGAAUUCCUAGUGUAGCGGUGAAAUGCGUAGAUAUUAGGAGGAACACCAGUGGCGAAGGCGGCUUACUGGACUGUAACUGACGUUGAGGCUCGAAAGCGUGGGGAGCAAACAGGAUUAGAAACCCUAGUAGUCC
rnacentral:rRNA from 1 species